AUCGAAGUCGGGCUCGAAAAGCAAUUUAUUUAAAAACAACACACCGCGCCGAAAUUCAAUUUUUUGGAGAGUUCCACGCAGCCAUGUUGAACUUGAUCAUGAUGUUGUACGGGAGGAAGGGGCGAAAGAGAGUUACUCGAAAAGGAGAAGCAUGAUAAACUUUGGAUGCAAUUUAUGUUUUAACAGAAGAUGAAGACAUUUACGACCCUGUUUAGCGUUGCAGUGUGGACUGUGCCUGAGACGAUUCCCCAUAACUCCGGCUAUGUAGACAGCUUGUGAAAAUGGAAUCUAAAUGCUCACAAGAAAUGACAAAAGCAGUAUGAAGAUUAACACAACGAAAUUGUGCCAGAAAAGUUUGAAGUAGCUAUGGCAAUGAUCAACAUUGAACUUGCUGAGGCUCUCUUCCUGAAAGUGACUUGACCAGAUAUUUGGCUACCCAGUAUGAGUAUCUUUCUGCUACAUUAAAUAAAAUAUCGUGGAGGAACACUAAGAAAAGGGCUGCGCACCUCAACAUAUUCAAGGUCAAGCAGGUAAAUACAUUGGUAAAUUGCUAAAAAAAAAAAAGAUGGCAAAAAGUCACCAGUCCCCAAUUUACAUGUACUUCCACAAAUUCUGCAGCUUGCUGCUGUGAAACUAUAUAUAUGUGUGUCUUAAUAUGAUAAAUGCUGUAAAUGCUAUUCUUUGCAUUUUCCUAAACUUUGUAAAUCUUCAAAUUCCAUGUGCUAGGACUACGGUACCAUUAUGUAUGUUUCGUAUCAUAUUUUGUCGUCUAUAAAUUUGAUCUAUACAUAUAAUUAUAUGUUUUUUUAUGCAAUUCACUUAACUAGAUGACACAGAGAAUUUUUUUCAUUGUGUAAAAUGUUAUCUUCUUGCUGUAGUCAUGUUAGUCAUAAGUAUACCCUGUUUGUAUAUUUUUUCUC